rnacentral:rRNA from 1 species
UCGUAGUGAUAGUGUAUGCGCAAAAGCCAGCUUGACUGUGAGGGCUACAACCCAAUCAGACACGAAAGUGGGAGCAAAUGACCCGCUGUAUAGAACUUCGGUUCAAUUUACGUGGGAAAGACAGCGCACACGGAUAAAAGUUACCCUGGGGAUAACAGGCUGAUCGCGCCCAAUAGUUCACAUAGACGGCGCGGUUUGGCACCUCGAUGUCGGCUCAUCACAUCCUGGAGGGGGAGCACCUUCCAAGGGUCCGGCUGUUCGCCGGUUAAAGUGGUACGCGAGCUGGGUGCAGAACGUCGUGAGACAGUUCGGUGUAUAUCCGGCAUGAUCGGUAGGAAUUUUGAGGAGAUCUGCCCCUAGUACGAGAGGACCAGGGUGGACGAACCUCUAGUGUACGGGUUGUGGUCACCUACUGCAUUGCCCGGUAGCUAUGUUCGGAAGAGAUAAGCGCUGAAAGCAUAUUAAGCGCGAAGCCCACUCCAAGAUAAGAAUUCCCUAGGAGACUCCAGAAAGAAGAUCUGGUUGAUAGGUGCAAGGUGGAAGCAUGGUAACAUGUGGAGCCGAAGCAUACUAAUAGGUCCAUCGCCUUUUUAUG